rnacentral:lncRNA from 1 species
UUCGUCAUAGUGCUCGCGACGAAACAUGAAUGAAGGCCAUCAUCUGAAUGUUAUAAAAUAGAAUGAUUAGAAACAAAAGAAAAGCACAUCUGACAAUAUGUUAAGUUGUAUGCAGUCUGUACACAAAUAAAAAUAGAAGAACAAAAACGAUGCGUAGUUAUCGGUGAUACUAGUGAUUGCGAAAAAUCUGUAAAUACAUUAUAUUAGUGACAAACAUCAUCAUAAAGAUAACAAUGGGGAUACAUGUAUGCACCAAAAUGAGAAGUUAUUUUGUAUUUGAGAAACAGAAAAUAGUUCAACAUUGCAAACCUUGUUGUUCUACAACGUUUGGAAUUAAUUUGUUCAUUAGAAUGUUCAGUUUCUCCAUAUAACGUGGGUUUAUUUUCAGAUAAAAUGACGCAAGUAUUUUUCUAGUAAUUGUAGUUGAAAUCAAUCGCAUGUUCCAAAAUGUUGUUAGGCUACAAUACGACGAAGAAAUCAACAGAAUGGAAUAAAUUAUGGGGACCAACUCAUAUAACACAAAUUAAUUAAAAACUUUAAAAUGCUACAUAUAUGGGAUUCUGCUGUUCCUUUUCACCACUACAGGUGACUAGCAAUGUUGGCAGUUGGUGGGGCAAAUUAUUUAUUUUUUCAACGGUCAUUUAAGAAUUUUUUGCAGUUUUCAAUCAAAAUAUUUAAGACUUUGUAAGCUUGCAUUGCUGUUUGCUAUGCCUGGAGCUACAAGAAACAAUGGAUGAAUGGAAAGAAUGGACCUGCAAAGUAGUAUCUGGAAUGUGUCUGCACUAUGAACUGAUAGGUAGACUUGUGGCUGCUCAUAAAGUGAUGCCCCCAAUGUUCAGUCACCUGACAGUAAGCAACUAUUUAAUACGAAGAUGCCAAUAUACAGGUUACUCCGUCAAAUUACACACCUCAGGUUCAGGAAACAUACUUGCCUAAUAAGGUGGAUUUCAACCAAUUUUUGUGAAUCUAAUAAAGCUCGCAUGGUAAUCAGAAUUGUAACAGACAAUUAAAACACAAACUAGUCAUUA